CCUUACCUGGCCUUGACAUACUAAGAACUUUCCAGAGAUGGAUUGGUGCCUUCGGGAACUUAGAUACAGGUGCUGCAUGGCUGUCGUCAGCUCGUGUCGUGAGAUGUUGGGUUAAGUCCCGCAACGAGCGCAACCCUUUUCCUAUUUGCCAGCGGGUUAAGCCGGGAACUUUAAGGAUACUGCCAGUGACAAACUGGAGGAAGGCGGGGACGACGUCAAGUCAUCAUGGCCCUUACGGCCAGGGCUACACACGUGCUACAAUGGUCGGUACAAAGGGUUGCUACCUCGCGAGAGGAUGCUAAUCUCAAAAAGCCGAUCGUAGUCCGGAUCGCAGUCUGCAACUCGACUGCGUGAAGUCGGAAUCGCUAGUAAUCGCGGAUCAGAAUGCCGCGGUGAAUACGUUCCCGGGCCUCGUACACACCGCCCGUCACACCAUGGGAGUUUGUUGCACCAGAAGUAGGUAGUCUAACCGCAAGGAGGACGCUUACCACGGUGUGGCCGAUGACUGGGGUGAAGUCGUAACAAGGUAAGCGUAGAUGA
rnacentral:rRNA from 1 species